AACAGGUUUGGAACAACUUGCUGACAACUUGUUACAAUGUUGUCGAAAUUAUCAUACUUGUUGCAAGGUUGUUAUGACAAAUCCGUUACAUUCUUGAUAUAACAAGACUGUUACAACCUUGUGUUGGCAACCUUGUAACAUCCUUGUUAUAUCAUGACUGUAACAAAAUUGUUAGAACAAACUUGUAACAAGGAUAAUGCCUUCUUCAAGCUUGUUACAAGUUGUUAAUGUUCAGCUUGUUUCAAACUUGUU